rnacentral:rRNA from 1 species
UACAGAGGGUGCGAGCGUUAAUCGGAGUUACUGGGCGUAAAGGGCGCGUAGGCGGUUAUAUAAGUUGGUUGUGAAAUCCCCGGGCUUAACCUGGGAACUGCAACCGAAACUGUAUGACUGGAGUACUGUAGAGGGUAGUGGAAUUUCCGGUGUAGCGGUGAAAUGCGUAGAGAUCGGAAGGAACACCAGUGGCGAAGGCGGCUACCUGGACAGAUACUGACGCUGAGGCGCGAGAGCGUGGGGAGCAAACAGG